GCAAUACCUGAGUAAAGUGGCGCACGGGUGAGUAACACGUGACUAACCUACCUUUAAGUGGGGGAUAACCUAGGGAAACCUGGGCUAAUACCGCAUAAAACCUACGGGUCAAAGCAGCAAUGCGCUGAAAGAGGGGGUCGCGGCCGAUUAGCUGGUUGGCGGGGUAAUGGCCCACCAAGGCAAUGAUCGGUAUCCGGCCUGAGAGGGCGCACGGACACACUGGAACUGAAACACGGUCCAGACUCCUACGGGAGGCAGCAGUGGGGAAUUUUGCGCAAUGGGGGAAACCCUGACGCAGCAGCGCCGCGUGGAGGAUGAAGUCCCUUGGGACGUAAACUCCUUUCGAUCGGGACGAUAAUGACGGUACCGGAAGAAGAAGCCCCGGCUAACUUCGUGCCAGCAGCCGCGGUAAUACGAGGGGGGCAAGCGUUGUUCGGAAUUAUUGGGCGUAAGGGGUGCGUAGGUGGUUCGGCAAGUCUUGUGUG
rnacentral:rRNA from 1 species